GUGGGAUAGACGCCUCAGUGGGAUAGUUGCCUCAGUAAACACAUAGCGACAUGUAUAAACAUUAGACCCGUUGUGUUUUGUUUUAACGUAACCCUACCCCCGCCCGUCCUUAAGUCAGUGCCACGCACUUAGCUGGAAUGGGCGUGUCGCGAAUUGUGAGACAAUGAACAUUUUUUGCGGUAAUUAAUUCGUGAAUUUGGUUCGUCUGAAAUAUUGAUAAGCUCGCAACUUUUGAUUUUAUGAGAUAUGCCUCGCAAGUACGUGCGCAAAGUAGGGGCAAGCCCUCGGGGCGAAUGGACGGAAGAUGCCCUAAGAGAAGCUUUUGAAGAAAUGAGGCAGAAUAAGCACGGCUUGAAUGAAAUAUCUCGUCGAUAUGGAAUUCCUGCCAGGACCCUGAAAAGACGUUUCGUGAAACAAGAUACUAAGAAACUUACUUUAGGUACUUUGUCAAUUAAAUCAUAAUAAAUAAAUCUAAGACAAU
rnacentral:lncRNA from 1 species